GCUGGGCAUGGUGGCGCACACCUGUAAUCCCAGGGAUUUGGGAGGCUGAGACAGGAGGAUGGCAAGUUCAAAGCCAGCCUUAGCAAAAGGCAAGGUGCUAAGCAACUCCGUGAUACCCUGUCUCUA
rnacentral:sRNA from 1 species